CGGACUUUGGUUUAUUCUUAUUUACAAUAAGAUUUAUUACUGUUCAAUUCAGUUGAGUCUGAU
rnacentral:tRNA from 1 species